AUUGAACGCUGGCGGCAUGCCUUACACAUGCAAGUCGAACGGCAGCGGACCUUUGGGUGCCGGCGAGUGGCGAACGGGUGAGUAAUAUAUCGGAACGUACCUUUCAGUGGGGGAUAACGUAGCGAAAGUUACGCUAAUACCGCAUAUUCUGUGAGCAGGAAAGCAGGGGAUCGCAAGACCUUGCGCUGAUUGAGCGGCCGAUAUCAGAUUAGCUAGUUGGUGAGGUAAAGGCUCACCAAGGCGACGAUCUGUAGCGGGUCUGAGAGGAUGAUCCGCCACACUGGAACUGAGACACGGUCCAGACUCCUACGGGAGGCAGCAGUGGGGAAUUUUGGACAAUGGGGGCAACCCUGAUCCAGCCAUGCCGCGUGAGUGAAGAAGGCCU
rnacentral:rRNA from 1 species